CAAUCCAUUUAGUGUGAUUUGUUUUAAUUUAGUUCAAACAUUUGAGAAUACAAAAAUAUAAUUUUAAUAAAACUUAAAUGGAAGUAUGUUUAACAAAUGUGAUAAUAUUUAUAAUUACCACGUUCAUCAGCGAUUAGAUUAAAAUAGAAAAGAAGUGGAAUAUGGUACACUGUAUUGUAUCACGGCUACCCAAGGGUGUGAAGUAGAAUUGGAAUGUAAGCAGUGCAAUGUCCAGCCUCGCUUCCAACCUUUGGUUCUUGACAAUUCAUUAGACAGUAAUUAGUUCCUGACAAAUUGUUUAUCAUCACAUAGCUGGAGUAGUUUUCCAGGAGUAGUACAGCGAUUAGUUUCUAUCGUCUGACUUAAAUUUGUUUUACUGUGAUGGCAAGAAUGCAAAUUAUAAGGUUGGACUCGAGUUGUAAUCUAGACAAAAAUUCUCUAAGACAGACAGUUAUUGUUACAUAUGCUAUAUGAACUUGCAAGAGACACAAUUCACGGCUGUUCUAAAAAAUAUUUACAGAGUAUUGCUGGAAAGAAUACCAUAAAGUUGGAAGACCUAACGAGAAGGCUAACAUAGUUAAUAUUUUGAUACUGUUUUCAAGUGCAAUAUUUAAGAGAAGCAAAAUAUGAAGAAUUAUUAGCAGGAAACUGAAAAAUUCAAGAAAGAACAUGUUCACUGAAUGAUAAAACCUCUGUGUUUCAAUAUCAUCUAUGUUGUC